UUCCUCUCAUCCUCCCUAUCAAUCCUAUCUAUACUCUAUUUCUCACUUCCAUAGCACAAAAAAUGAAAACUAAAAAUUGAAAUUAAAAUGGUUAUCAAACUAGCCCCAAAAGGUUGCCAAACAAGCCCUUCAAUUAUAAAUUUUAAAAUAUUUUAAUAAGGCAAAAGGAAAGAGAAAGGGGGAAAAAAAAAAAAAACUAUUUUCAUUAGUUUAUAAUUUUAUAUAGUAAGUUAUUUUUAUUUUUAUUUUUCAUUUGUUAAUAGUUCGAGAAAUGGUUUUUGCAUAUGAAUCCUUGAGUGUGCUAGUGGCUGCCAUUUGGGUCUUGCGCUCAUAAUGAUCCAGAAGAUACAACUUUGUGGCCAUGGCCAUGGUUGUGAAGCUUCCCCUAAACUCAAUCUGGGAAGUGGGUAUAUUUUACAGCCCAUGGCAAGCCCAAAGGAAGAGAUGAGGGCGACGUUUAGAAUUAAAGUGAAAAAGAUAAAGAGAAAAUAAUGAUGGUCAUGUGAUUUUGCUGGACAACUUGGAGUAUGAAAACUAGUUUGAACAGAAAUCAAAGAUAAGGCAGAAGGGAAGAGCGCCUUCAUCAGUAUCCAUCAUGACAGCUGAAGAAAGGGUCCAUAUCCAAAGCCCUCCUCUUCGUAUUUUCAUCAUGAUGAGGCCUUUAAAAU
rnacentral:lncRNA from 1 species